ensembl:lncRNA
GCCACAGCCGCUCUUGGGGUGUCUGUUUUAAAUAUUUAAGUAACUGCUCUUCCCCGUCCCUGAGUGACAUUUUGCCUCAAAUUUUCAAAUUUGUUGUUAACUGCUGUUGCUUCUCUGGUUAUUAAAUUGUGUGAAAUGCCCAUCUCUCUCUCUCUCUCUCUCUCUCUCUCUCUCUCUCUCUCUCUCUCUCCCUCACCCCUCUCUCCCUCUUUCUGUAAAUAGCUGCCUCAUCCACCUUCAGUCAUAGCACCAUUGGACACAUUGGGUUCCAGACUAUCCUGCAAGGAUCAUGCCCUCCUGGGAAGCAGGUGGCUGUUGAGCUUGGUGAUCUUUCCCAAGGAUGGGGCAGAGGGGUUUCACCCUGGAGCACCAGGAGUACCAGCUGUGAUGAGCUGUGCUGUGCCAGGUCUGUCUCCAUUUGGCAUUUGAUGGGAACCACGGGCUUUGGAACAUUCUGCUUCUACCUGGACUCAGUUGUGGGAGCUACUUUGUGGGCAUGCAGACCUGCAAGACUCAAGAUGCACUGCACACCAGGCACUUAGCACCAUCAUCCUGGUGCUCCACUCUCAGAACAAAAGAAAGAUGGAGGCCUGUUGGACACAUGAAGAAGACCAAGCCCUGUGAGAAAGAAAUAUGAGAACAACCAACCCCAUAGGGAAAAUCAAUAUUUCAGAGCAGACGAUGAUGCCUCAAAAUAUGAACUGGUGUCUUCAGAGAAAUGAAAAGUUAUGGAAUCUGUAAUUUAAAAAGGGAUGCUAUGAAAAAGAAAUUACAUGGUAAAGAAGGAAGCUUAGAAAUUAAACAUGAUCACUUAAAUAAACAUUUUAAUAGGCUGGGCCAGGUGGUGCACACCUUUAAUCCCAGCACUCAGGAAACAGAGGCAGGCGGAUCUCUGUGAGUUCGAAUCUAGGUUGGUCUACAUAGGGAAUUUUAGGCCAGUCAAAGCUAUGUAGUGAAACAUUUCCUCAAAAAAUGGGGAGGGAGGGAGCUGGAAAAAUGGCUCAUUGGACUGGGCAUUGGUGGUGCACGCCUUUAAUCCCAGCACUCAGGAGGCAGAGACAGGUGGAUCUCUGUGAGUUCAAGGUCAGCCUGGUCUCCAGAGCGAGUGCCAGGACAGGCUCCAAAGCUACACAGAGAAACCCUGUCUCAAAAAACCAAAAAACAGAAACAAAAACAAAAAUGAAAAAUGGCUCAUUGGUUAAGAGCAUUGACUACUCUUCCAGAUGACCCAGGUUUAAUUCCCAGAACCCUUAUGACAGUUUAUAGCUGUCAAUAACUCCAGUCCCAGGGAAAUGAAACCCUCUUCUGGGCUUCCAGGCACCAGGCAUGCACAUGGUACACAGACAUGCAUGCAGACAAAACAUCCAUCCACAUAAAACAAACACAUGCAAUUAAUUUUGAAAAAUAAAAAUAAUUUUUAAAAUAAAAAUAAUUAGGGCUAGAGAGAUGGCUUAGCAGUUAAGAACCUAUACUGCUCUUUCAAAGGACCAAGUUUAAUUCUCAGCACCCAUGUCAGGGAGUUCACAACCUCCUGAAAUUCCAGCUCCUGGGGAACCAGAACCCUCUACUGGCCUCCUUAGGUACCUACACGCAUGUGUACACACACUCCACAAACAUACACACACACACACACACACACACACACACACACACACACUUAUAAAGUAAGCCUGCUUUUGCAAUAAAAUCAUUUUAAAAUUCAAAACUGUCAAGAUAAAGUUGGGAUGCUUCCUAGGUUGUAGAAUAAAAAUAGAAAGAAACUGAAAAAUGUAAAUGAAAAAUACAGAGUCACAAUAAAUCAACUCAAAAUGUCAGACAACAUGCACAGAAUAGUUAGGGAAAGGGGAUAAUCUCAGAAGCAAUGGAAGACACUGGCCCAAGGGUGGGGGGUCAGAAAUGCUCCCCCCAAAAGAGCUAAGGACCAUGCCAGAUUGAUAGCAAAUUGUCUGUAUUUAGAUCCAACUACAAGGAAUUUGAGAACACAUUAUAUAUGCAUAUAUAUGAAGACAUCAAAUUUUCCAGAAAAAAGAAAUAAAAAUAGGAACUUCUCAGAAGGUUCUAGAAGACAAUGACACCAGACUUUUGGGGGGAGUGUAAAAGGCAAUAUGAUAAUAUUUUGAGCAUUAAGUUCUGCGAAAGAGUGUUUUUAAGUGUUAGGACUAAGUACCUAGGUGAUAGCUUCAUGCCUGUAAUCUCAGAACUCAGGGGGCUGAAACAGUUGGAUCACAAUCUUGAGUGCCUGGGCUACAUACUUAGAGAGUUCCAGGCUAGCCUGGUUGGAAUAAUGAGACUGCUUCAAACAAGAAAAAAAAUCCCCAGGGUUGUAGGAAUAGUAAAGGCAGACAUCCUACAGCUUUUUCUUACAGAGCUUCUUGAGGAGGUACACUAGCAAAGCAAGGAGAUAAGUUAAGACUCACACAGGAUCUGAUAGUUAGAGACACAAGAUCUGAUAGGAAAAGACACAAGGUCCAUCAGGGAUAAGGCCUACAGAGUAGCGGGACCAGUGUUGAGGUUGGGCUCUAGAGGCUCUGAGAUGGAUGCUUCCAGGCAGAAGAUUUAGUGCAAUAGCAGAUCAGAUCAGUCAGUGAUAGCCCAGAACACAGAGACUUCUCAAGGUGCCUCAAGUAGGAGCAUUUGAAGUCGGAGAACUGCUCUAAAGGCUAAAACACCUUCUGGUUUCUGGUCCAGCAUAACAGGAUCUUUGUAGACAUUACUCCUUAGCAUUGCAAGAAAAAUACUGAGCAACAUGAAAAUCAGCACUGCUUCUUAGAUCUAUUGGAGAAUUAAGGUCACAAGGCUGAGUGCUGGUUUCAAAACUGGAAAGACAUAUGGUGUGGCAGUCUGAAUAAGAAGGGCCUACAUAAGCUCAUAUAUUUGAAUGCUUGGUCCUCAGUUGGUGGAACUGUUUGAGAAGGAUUAGGAGGUGUGGCCUUGAUGGAGAAGGUGGUUACUGGGGGUGGGCUUGGAAAUUUCAAAAGCUCACACCAUUUCCAAUAAUGCUCUCUGCCUUAUGUUUGUGGAUCAGAUGUAAGUUCUCAGAUAUUGCUCCAGCACCAUGCCAGCCUGCCUGCUGUCAUGUUUCCCUCCAUAAUGGUCAUGCACCCACUCUCUGAAACUGUAAGUCCCAAUAAAUUCCUUCUAUAAAUUGCCUUGGUCAUGGUGUCUCUUCACAGCAAUAAAAAUGUAAC